CGUACCUUUUGUAUAAUGGGUCAGCGACUUAUAUUCUGUAGCAAGGUUAACCGAAUAGGGGAGCCGAAGGGAAACCGAGUCUUAACUGGGCGUUAAGUUGCAGGGUAUAGACCCGAAACCCGGUGAUCUAGCCAUGGGCAGGUUGAAGGUUGGGUAACACUAACUGGAGGACCGAACCGACUAAUGUUGAAAAAUUAGCGGAUGACUUGUGGCUGGGGGUGAAAGGCCAAUCAAACCGGGAGAUAGCUGGUUCUCCCCGAAAGCUAUUUAGGUAGCGCCUCGUGAAUUCAUCUCCGGGGGUAGAGCACUGUUUCGGCAAGGGGGUCAUCCCGACUUACCAACCCGAUGCAAACUGCGAAUACCGGAGAAUGUUAUCACGGGAGACACACGGCGGGUGCUAACGUCCGUCGUGAAGAGGGAAACAACCCAGACCGCCAGCUAAGGUCCCAAAGUCAUGGUUAAGUGGGAAACGAUGUGGGAAGGCCCAGACAGCCAGGAUGUUGGCUUAGAAGCAGCCAUCAUUUAAAGAAAGCGUAAUAGCUCACUGGUCGAGUCGGCCUGCGCGGAAGAUGUAACGGGGCUAAACCAUGCACCGAAGCUGCGGCAGCGACGCUGAUGCGUUGUUGGGUAGGGGAGCGUUCUGUAAGCCUGCGAAGGUGUGCUGUGAGGCAUGCUGGAGGUAUCAGAAGUGCGAAUGCUGACAUAAGUAACGAUAAAGCGGGUGAAAAGCCCGCUCGCCGGAAGACCAAGGGUUCCUGUCCAACGUUAAUCGGGGCAGGGUGAGUCGACCCCUAAGGCGAGGCCGAAAGGCGUAGUCGAUGGGAAACAGGUUAAUAUUCCUGUACUUGGUGUUACUGCGAAGGGGGGACGGAGAAGGCUAUGUUGGCCGGGCGACGGUUGUCCCGGUUUAAGCGUGUAGGCUGGUUUUCCAGGCAAAUCCGGAAAAUCAAGGCUGAGGCGUGAUGACGAGGCACUACGGUGCUGAA
rnacentral:rRNA from 1 species